rnacentral:rRNA from 1 species
AUUGAACGCUGGCGGCAGGCCUAACACAUGCAAGUCGAGCGGAUGACGGGAGCUUGCUCCUUGAUUCAGCGGCGGACGGGUGAGUAAUGCCUAGGAAUCUGCCUGGUAGUGGGGGACAACGUUUCGAAAGGAACGCUAAUACCGCAUACGUCCUACGGGAGAAAGCAGGGGACCUUCGGGCCUUGCGCUAUCAGAUGAGCCUAGGUCGGAUUAGCUAGGUGGUGGGGUAAUGGCUCACCAAGGCGAAGAUCCGUAACUGGUCUGAGAGGAGGGGCAGUCCCACUGGAACAGAGACACCGUCCAGACGCCUACGGGGGGCAGCAGUGGGGAAUAUUGGACAAUGGGCGAAUGCCUGAUCCAGCCAUGCCGCGUGUGUGAAGAAGGUCUUCGGAUUGUAAAGCACUUUAAGUUGGAAGGAAGGGCAGUAAGUUAAUACCUUGCUGUUUUGACGUUACCGACAGAAUAAGCACCGGCUAACUCUGUGCCAGCAGCCGCAGUAA